rnacentral:rRNA from 1 species
AACGAACGCUGGCGGCAUGCCUAACACAUGCAAGUCGAACGAGACCUUCGGGUCUAGUGGCGCACGGGUGCGUAACGCGUGGGAACCUGCCCUUAGGUUCGGAAUAGCUCCCCGAAAGGGGUGCUAAUACCGGAUAAUGUCUUCGGACCAAAGAUUUAUCGCCUUUGGAUGGGCCCGCGUUGGAUUAGCUAGUUGGUAGGGUAAAAGCCUACCAAGGCGACGAUCCAUAGCUGGUCUGAGAGGAUGAUCAGCCACACUGGGACUGAGACACGGCCCAGACUCCUACGGAAGGCAGCAGUGGGGAAUAGUGGACAAUGGGCGAAAGCCUGAUCCAGCAAUGCCGCGUGAGUGAUGAAGGCCUUAGGGUUGUAAAGCUCUUUUACCCGGGAUGAUAAUGACAGUACCGGGAGAAUAAGCGCCGGCGAACGCCG